GUCCUAACUGUGCUAACUCAGUUUCAUAUUUAAACUCCGAUCGUUGGCUUUUGAUAUGUUCGCCCGCCCGCCCUCCCUCCACGUAGAUUGUUCUCUCGAGACACCUGGAUCGCCUUCAACAGGUAACUCCCCCUUCCGGUAUUUUCCUUUUUAACCGUUGGCCGUUUCAUUUCAAAUAAUACAAUAAUUAAAUUCACUAUAUUGCCAACUACUAGUUUUUAAAGAAUAAAGGAUGUACUUGUUUUGUUAGGUCACAUUUACACAGAAUUUUAAAAUCAAUUUUAUUUUAAAUAUUAAUUACAACAAUAUAUUAGUUCUUUAUCUAAUUAUUUAAUUAAUAUAUUAAAAUAAUAUAAUUUUAAUAGUAACAAUAAACAAAAUAUCUAAAAAUAUUUUUUAAUUAUCAUUUUUUUAAAACAUAUUAUAACAUCACAUCUCCUUAUAAAUAAAUACAUAUAAAAAAAUAUUUAUAAAAAUAUUAGCAGUUUAAAUUAAAUGACAAAUAAAAAAAAAAUUAAUGAUGGCGUUAAUAAAAUUGAAAUAAUACCAUAGUUAAAAACUAGAUUUAUUUAAAUUAUGCUUUUCUCGUUGUAUAAUUUUUAUUUAUUUUAUUUUUUAUAUAUAAAUAAUACUUUUUUAUUAAUUUAUUAAUUAUAUUUAUUUAAAAAUAUUAAAUUUUACUAAAUAUUAAAAAAUAUUUUAAAAAUAAGAAAUUAAUAAUAGUUUAUUAUAAUAUAAAAAAUAAAUAAUAAUUUAAAAAUAAUAAAAAAUAAAUAAAAAUUAUGCUAUAUUUUUUUUAAAAAAAAUUAUUUUUAAACUAUCAUUUUAAAGGUUUUAAAAAAAAUUAUUUAUAAAAAUUUAAGUUUGUGAAUUAUAUUUAUUUAAAUUUUUAAUUAUAUUUUAAAGAUAAAUUUACAUAAAAAUAAAAUUAAAUAAUUUUUUAUUCAGUUAUAUAAUUGAUAUAAUCCUUUAAAAAUUUUAUUAUUUAAUAUUCGAUAUGAAAAUAUUAAUUAAUUGAUUUUUUAAAAAUUUAAAGGGUAAACUAAUAAAUUUUUUAAAAUUUUAAAAAUUAAAUAUUUAAUAAUUAAAAUUAAUAAAAUAAUUAAUUAAUAAAAUUUUUUAAAUUGCUGUAGCUGAAAGGGAGAAAUGAACAAGGGGAUUAGAUAUGAACCUGCCAGGUGGAGAUGAUCUUAGCCAUGUGGCGGACGAUGAGUCAUAGUCAAGCGAGGCCCGGGUACAUAUGUUGAAGCC
rnacentral:lncRNA from 1 species